GACGAACGCUGGCGGCGUGCCUAAUACAUGCAAGUAGAACGCUGAAGGAGGAGCUUGCUUCUCUGGAUGAGUUGCGAACGGGUGAGUAACGCGUAUGUAACCUGCCUGGUAGCGGGGGAUAACUAUUGGAAACGAUAGCUAAUACCGCAUAAGAGUAGAUGUUGCAUGACAUUUGCUUAAAAGGUGCAAUUGCAUCACUACCAGAUGGACCUGCGUUGUAUUAGCUAGUUGGUGGGGUAACGGCUCACCAAGGCGACGAUACAUAGCCGACCUGAGAGGGUGAUCGGCCACACUGGGACUGAGACACGGCCCAGACUCCUACGGGAGGCAGCAGUAGGGAAUCUUCGGCAAUGGACGGAAGUCUGACCGAGCAACGCCGCGUGAGUGAAGAAGGUUUUCGGAUCGUAAAGCUCUGUUGUAAGAGAAGAACGAGUGUGAGAGUGGAAAGUUCACACUGUGACGGUAUCUUACCAGAAAGGGACGGCUAACUACGU
rnacentral:rRNA from 1 species